rnacentral:rRNA from 1 species
AUGCCACCCCACCCUUUCUUUCGUGAUUUCUUGAAUUACUUCGGUGCUCAACUCCACCACCUUCCUCUGAACACCAUAGCGUACCUUGCCGCAUUCGUUUCCAUGUGUGAAAACUUCCUGGGUUGCCAGCCGCAUUGGGAGUUGUUUAAGCACAUCUUCACAUGUCGCUCUCAGUCGGUGAAAAAGGCUUCUCUUGACGGAGAGAGAACCCACGUGACCCAACUGUGUGGUGGAUUAGGGAUCCAGAUGAGGGGUAGGAGCGCUUUCCCGACGAUGACCUUUCCUGAUUCCGUCAGAUGGUUCUACUGCAAUGAUAUCCCUUGCACCGGCUCGUCGACUAGUCUUCUCCCUUAUACGACCGAGAGGGUCAAUCUUCCUUCGUCACUGACGAUGGACAAGGAAGUAAAGACGAAUGUGGGGAUCCUAGUGACCGCUGUAGUCUAA